GACGAACGCUGGCGGCGUGCUUAACACAUGCAAGUCGAACGGAAAGGCCCUGCUUGCAGGGUACUCGAGUGGCGAACGGGUGAGUAACACGUGGGUGAUCUGCCCUGCACUUCGGGAUAAGCCUGGGAAACUGGGUCUAAUACCGGAUAGGAGCCAUUUUUAGUGUGAUGGUUGGAAAGUUUUUUCGGUGAGGAUGAGCUCGCGGCCUAUCAGCUUGUUGGUGGGGUAAUGGCCUACCAAGGCGGCGACGGGUAGCCGGCCUGAGAGGGUGGACGGCCACAUUGGGACUGAGAUACGGCCCAGACUCCUACGGGAGGCAGCAGUGGGGAAUAAUGCACAAUGGGCGCAAGCCUGAUGCAGCGACGCCGCGUGGGGGAUGACGGCCUUCGGGUUGUAAACUCCUUUCGCUAGGGACGAAGCUUUUUGUGACGGUACCUAGAUAAGAAGCACCGGCUAACUACGUG
rnacentral:rRNA from 1 species